GCCAGAAGAUGGCAUUGAUGAAGGCUGUAUCACAGGCUCUCAGGACCCCUCAGAGGGAGCACCAGCAGGUUAGACAGAAGUCUUCAGGCACUGCCUUCCUCUGGCAUGCAAACAGAGCGUUGGCUCCUCUGGGUGACUUGUUUGUAGAGAUAUUCCUGUCUAAAAGAGUGACUCCUCCUCCAGAAAUGUCUGUCAGGAACGUGGGACAUGUCUGUAAAUGUCUCUUGUUAUCAUGUUUUGUGGUAAAUAUAAAAAAUGGGCAGGAACAAGGCUGGAAAAGCCAACUUCCCACUACCUUUAUACAUGAAGAUUGAUUCGUUGCUACUAUUUGUCUCUGGGUAAUUAGAGUCUUUUAUAAAUAACAGAAGGUUAUCAGCAAAUAAGUUGUCUUGAAAAUCUGUUCAGGAGAGCAGGCAUUGUGGUGUCUGCUUCUAAUUCCAAUAAUAAGGAGAGAAGCAGGGGCAGGGGCCAGGGCAGGGGCAGAGGCAAGAAAAUCUCUGUGAGUAUGAGGGCAGGCCGGUCUACAUAGUAAGUUCCAGGCCAAGUAGGGCUACAUAGUGAGUCCCUGUACUUUAAAACGAUAGCAACCACAACAAAGAAGAGGAAAAGAAAGCAAUUCUUUUUCAGGAGACAAAGAAGGAGACCCAUCCCUAGCAGACAACCCAGUCCAUUCCUGGGAGAGAGGAUGGCACCCAGCAAUGAGCAGACUCCACUAGACUGUUUUUCAGAUGGAGACAUUGGAGAAGCAGAGAGGAUGUGCACAAGGGAGGUACCACUGGACAUAGAAAGCAAAUGGAGAGACAUGGCAAGGAGAAAGGAUGUCAGUACUGAAGCUACUGCUAAGAGCCAAGAAAGGGGCUGGAAAGAGGACUCAGCUGUCAAGAACACUUGCUUCCUUCCAGACAACUCAGAGCCCAUCAUCCAUGAAGCAUUUAUGGAAGUCUAGAUUCUGCUAGCCAGCACAAGUUUCUCUAUUCUACACCACUUUAUAUCUUGGAAAUUUUGGCGAUCUCCUUAAAAUCAGAUCUCCAUGCUUAAAAUCAGCCAUGCUGAGAGGUGAGGAGGGGCUUUGUAAAGAGAUAAUUAGGACAUGAGUAUUCUGUCCUCCUUCACAGAUUAAUUUGUUAUCACGAGACAAGGUUAAAAUUAAAAUCAGAUCUUAGUCCUUAGGUAUUGAAUUUUUCAGUCCCUAGGACUGUAAAAAACCCCCCACAAAAUUUCUUUAUAAAUAACUCAGACCUUAACAACACAGAAAAGAUCAAGAUGCUGUGACAAUGUUUAAUGUUAACAUGACUAGAUUUGGAAUCACGGAGGAGACAUACUUCUGGUAUAUCCUCGAGGAUGCUUCCAGACAGAUUCCACCAAGGAGGAAAGACCCACCCCGAAUGUGGAGAGCAUCCUCUUGUAGGCUAGGGUUUGAACUGAAUAAAAGGAAAAAGAGAAGAAGUCGCAUGAGGGCCAGCACCUACCUCUCUGCUUCCUGACUGCGGAUUAACUGUGACCAGCUGCCUCACAUCACAGGGAGUACUUCCCUUGCUGCUCUUGUCUUUCCUGCCAUGACUGGACUGUGCCCUCCAACCAUAAGCCGAAGUAAACCCCUCUUCCUUAGGUUGUGCUUGUCAAGUAUGUUGUCAUGGCAACAAGAAAAGUUGCUACUACAGAACACUAGUACCAAGAGAUGGGGUUGUUACUGUGAGAAAACCUGCCCAUGUAGCUGUGAGGCCUUCUGAACUGAUGUGAGGGAGGAAUGUGGAAGCUUUUGGAGCCCUGAGCUAUAGCAUGUGUGGGGAGCUCAGACAGCCAGAAUGCUGAUAGAGAUGGAGACGCUCAAUGUGGUUUCAGAGGGAAACAAAGACUUUAUUGAGCAUUGGACCUGAAGUUCUGUGUAUUAUAUUCUGGAGUCCCCAAAUGAGCUUGUUUUCUUCCCAUAUGCUUAUAACUGAGUGAGGCUGAAUUCAAAAGCAGUGGACCACGUUGUUUGGCAGCAGAGAUUUCAAGACUACAGAACGUUCAGGUUAUGGCAUAGUUCCUUACUGCUUACUGUAUUGACUGAGAUUCAUAAUGAUAUUUCAAAGCACAAAGACACGGAAAAAUGUACAGAUAGGUCAAAAAAGGAGUGGAAGCCAACUUGAAGACUCCAACAAAAUCAGUGCCUAGAAAGCACCUAUAAUUGCUGAAGAGACUAGUGCCAUUGAAGAGCCACCAAAUGCUCCUCAAUAGGACAGUAGGGAACGCCUGACCCACCCAUUGAAAGCUAUUACUUAUGAUAAUGUGAGUUUGAAAAGGGGUCUUGAAAGGGGUUCCCUUUUCAAAACAACCACCACCUAGGGGAGUGUUUUCCCAGGUUCAGCCGCUAAGGUGCAGAGCUAUAGCUAUGAGAGACAAUGUCAGACUGUACCUAGAGCUAAUAGAAUUACUAAUUAAUAAUUGCCUGCAUUAUGCUGGCUUGGCAGGCUUGUAAAGUGCAAGAGUGAGCGGCACCCUGAGGGUUUGCAACAAGGAUCCAGAGAACUGCUGCCAUCAAGUCAAGUGUGGAAGGGUCUGAUUCUUUAAAAACAAGUCUUCACAUCCCUUUUACCCAGGAUCUACUUUCCAUCCCUGCAAAACAGUGCCUAGAGAUGUAGCCCAGCUGGUGGAGUGCUUGUCUCUUGUGUUCGAAUCCCUGUGUUUGAUAGCCAGCACUACAUAAACUGGGUGUGGUGGUGUACACCAAUAAUCCCAGCACCUAGGAGGUAGAGGCAAGAGGAUCAGAAUGUCAAGAUCAAGACAUAGAGCACACUAAAUCAGUGGAUCAACCAAAAACCAAUUGUAACAGGGGCCCAGACCUUAGUGCAACUGACUCCAUGAUGCAAACGCCAUACUGUGAAACUCAGCUUCUCCAGUUUAUUGUCCUAGCCAACUCUUCCUUUCAUUUUGUCUGCCCUAUGUCUGUAUUUUCCCAUACUGGACAGGAUGAGAAGUUGACUUUCGAGCCUGGACUCCCACUUCUCCACUCACUGCCCAGUGAACAGAUUUGUGCUAUUAGUGCUCAGCCUCAGUUUCCCCUUUCAUUUUACAACACCAAGUAUGUCUCUUGGGAGGGCCUUCUCUCUGGGACCAACAGAUGGCAGAUAAAACCUCUCACCCCUUGCUCUAUGCAUCUUGUUUACCUGACUGCCCCUG
rnacentral:lncRNA from 1 species